rnacentral:rRNA from 1 species
AGAGUUUGAUCCUGGCUCAGGACGAACGCUGGCGGCGUGCCUAAUACAUGCAAGUCGAACGCUUCUUUCCUCCCGAGUGCUUGCACUCAAUUGGAAAGAGGAGUGGCGGACGGGUGAGUAACACGUGGGUAACCUACCCAUCAGAGGGGGAUAACACUUGGAAACAGGUGCUAAUACCGCAUAACAGUUUAUGCCGCAUGGCAUAAGAGUGAAAGGCGCUUUCGGGUGUCGCUGAUGGAUGGACCCGCGGUGCAUUAGCUAGUUGGUGAGGUAACGGCUCACCAAGGCCACGAUGCAUAGCCGACCUGAGAGGGUGAUCGGCCACACUGGGACUGAGACACGGCCCAGACUCCUACGGGAGGCAGCAGUAGGGAAUCUUCGGCAAUGGACGAAAGUCUGACCGAGCAACGCCGCGUGAGUGAAGAAGGUUUUCGGAUCGUAAAACUCUGUUGUUAGAGAAGAACAAGGACGUUAGUAACUGAACGUCCCCUGACGGUAUCUAACCAGAAAGCCACGGCUAACUACGUGCCAGCAGCCGCGGUAAUACGUAGGUGGCAAGCGUUGUCCGGAUUUAUUGGGCGUAAAGCGAGCGCAGCGGUUUCUUAAGUCUGAUGUGAAAGCCCCCGGCUCAACCGGGGAGGGUCAUUGGAAAACUGGGAGACUUGAGUGCAGAGAGGAGAGUGGAAUUCCAUGUGUAGCGGUGAAAUGCGUAGAUAUAUGGAGGAACACCAGUGGCGAA